UCUGAAAUAGCUCAAUUGGUAGAGCGUCAAACUAUAAAUUAAGAGGUCCUCGGUUUGAUCCCGGGUUCCAACA
rnacentral:tRNA from 1 species